AGCCGAAAGGCUCUCUAAUACCGCAUGAGACCACAGCAUCACAUGGUGCAGGGGUCAAAGGAGCAAUCCGGAUGAGGGUGGGCUCGCGUCUGAUUAGCUAGUUGGUGGGGUAAGGGCUCACCAAGGCAACGAUCAGUAGCCGACCUGAGAGGGUGAUCGGCCACAUUGGAACUGAGACACGGUCCAAACUCCUACGGGAGGCAGCAGUGGGGAAUAUUGGGCAAUGGGCGAAAGCCUGACCCAGCAACGCCGCGUGAAGGAAGAAGGCUUUCGGGUCGUAAACUUCUAUCCCGGGUGAAGAUAAUGACGGUAGCCCGGAAGGAAGCCCCGGCUAACUACGUGCCAGCAGCCGCGGUAAUACGUAGGGGGCAAGCGUUGUCCGGAAUGAUUGGGCGUAAAGGGCGCGUAGGCGGCCUUUUAAGUCCGGUGUGAAAGUCCUGCUUUUAAGGUGGGAAUUGCAUUGGAAACUGGAAGGCUUGAGUGCAGGAGAGGUAAGUGGAAUUCCCGGUGUAGCGGUGAAAUGCGUAGAGAUCGGGAGGAACACCAGUGGCGAAGGCGACUUACUGGACUGUAACUGACGCUGAGGCGCGAAAGUGUGGGGAGCAAACAGGAUUAGAUACCCUGGUAGUCCACACUGUAACGAUGGGUGCUAGGUGUAGGAGGUAUCGACCCCUUCUGUGCCGGAGUCAACACAAUAAGCACUCCGCCUGGGGAGUACGGCCGCAAGGUUGAAACUCAAAGGAAUUGACGGGGGCCCGCACAAGCAGCGGAGCAUGUUGUUUAAUUCGAAGCAACGCGAA
rnacentral:rRNA from 1 species